UUGGGAAUAUUCGGCAAUGGGGGAAACCCUGACCGAGCGACGCCGCGUGAUUGAAGAAGCCCUUCGGGGUGUAAAGAUCUUUUCUUUGGGACGAUUAUGACGGUACCAAAGGAAUAAGGACUUGCUAACUACGUGCCAGCAGCAGCGGUAAUACGUAGAGUUCAAGCGUUAUCCGGAUUUAUUGGGCGUAAAGAGUUCGUAGGCGGUUUGAUAAGUUAGAUUUAAAAACUUCAGGCCUAACUUGGAGUUUGGAUCUAAAACUAUCAAACUUUUGAACAUAGUCGGGGCAAGUGGAACUCUCGGUGUAGCAGUGAAAUGCGUUGAUAUCGAGAGGAACACCGAUGGCGAAGGCAGCUUGCUAGGCUAUUGUUGACGCUGAGGAACGAAAGCGUGGGGAGCGAAAGGG
rnacentral:rRNA from 1 species